rnacentral:lncRNA from 1 species
GCACACCCGCACAUCUACAAUGGUAAAAGACCUGUGGACUUAAUAUUUAUAGAGAGGUUUAGGUUUAGGUCUCAUCUAAUCAGUCAUCAUAUGACCGAUCUAACUGACAUGGGCUAAACUAGAUUACUAAGCAACUUAAUUCAAAAUCCAAUCUUCCAAAUUGGUUAGGUAAAUGGAGAUCGGUGGGGGUCCCCCCGUUGCCUUCUUAAGACACCAAUAAAUUGGCC